rnacentral:rRNA from 1 species
GGGGUGGGGGGGGGGGGGGCCUGGGGGGGGGGGGGCGGGGGAGCGGAGGAGGGGCUUGAGCCUGUGACGUUGGCGGCGGACGGUGGAGUAACACGUGGGUAACCUACCUAUAAGACUUGGAUAACUUCGGGCAACCGGAGCUAGUGCCGGAUAAUACAGUUAACCGCAUGGUUCACUCAUGAAAGACCGUUUUGCUUUCCAUUAUAGAUUGAUCCGCGCCGCAUUAGCUGGUUGGUAAGUUAACGGCUUACCCAGGCCACGAUGCGUCGCCGGCCUGGGAGGGUGAUCCGGCAACCUUGAACCUGAGACAGGGCCCGACUCCGUCGGGAAGCAGCCGUAGGGAAUCUUCCGCAAUGGGCGAAAGCCUGACGGAGCAACGCCGCGUGAGUGAUGAAGGUCUUCGGAUCGUAAAACUCUGUUAUUAGGGAAGAACAAAUGUGUAAGUAACUAUGCACGUCUUGACGGUACCUAAUCAGAAAGCCACGGCUAACUACGUG